CUUCUGGAGCUUUGCCUCUUUCCGAACCAGCACCGCACUGACCGCGGUUGGGGAGACCGCCAGAUAGAGGUAGAGCAUCUCCCCUUCUUGCGGCUUGGACAGUAGGGGAGGAGACGCCAGGUAUUCCUUGAGCUGGUCGAAUGCUGCUUGACAUUCGGCCGUCCAGAGGAAGUCUUUCGGGCGUUUUAACACCUUGAAGAAUGGUUGGCAGCGUUCGGCCGAUUUUG
rnacentral:lncRNA from 1 species